GUCCACGCUGUAAACGAUGAGUGCUAGUUGUCGGCAUGCAUGCAUGUCGGUGACGCAGCUAACGCCUUAAGCACUCCGCCUGGGGAGUACGGUCGCAAGAUUAAAACUCAAAGGAAUUGACGGGGGCCCGCACAAGCAGCGGAGCAUGUGGUUUAAUUCGACGCAACGCGAAGAACCUUACCAGGUCUUGACAUCCAGUUAAAGCUGUUGAAAGAUAGUGUCCCUUCGGGGGAACUGAGACAGGUGGUGCAUGGUUGUCGU
rnacentral:rRNA from 1 species